CGGAGGGGGCUAGCGUUGUUCGGAAUUACUGGGCGUAAAGCGCGCGUAGGCGGACAUUUAAGUCAGAGGUGAAAUCCCAGGGCUCAACCCUGGAACUGCCUUUGAUACUGGGUGUCUUGAGUUCGAGAGAGGUGAGUGGAAUUCCGAGUGUAGAGGUGAAAUUCGUAGAUAUUCGGAGGAACACCAGUGGCGAAGGCGGCUCACUGGCUCGAUACUGACGCUGAGGUGCGA
rnacentral:rRNA from 13 species